rnacentral:rRNA from 1 species
UAGCGAAAUUCCUUGUCGGGUAAGUUCCGACCCGCACGAAAGGCGUAAUGAUUUGAGCGCUGUCUCGACAAUGCACCCGGUGAAAUUGAAGUACCUGUGAAGAUGCAGGUUACCCGCGACUGGACAGAAAGACCCCAUGGAGCUUUACUGUAACCUGACAUUGGGUUCUGAUACAUCACGUACAGGAUAGGUGGGAGGCAUGGAAGCGAGGACGCUAGUCUUCGUGGAGCCGCCGUUGGGAUACCACCCUUGAUGUAUCGGAAUUCUAACCGUAGGAGUAACGAAACUCGGGACAGUGUCAGGCGGGCAGUUUGACUGGGGCGGUCGCCUCCCAAAGAGUAACGGAGGCGCCCAAAGGUUCCCUCAGCGCGGCCGGAAAUCGCGCGAAGAGUGUAAAGGCAGAAGGGAGCUUGACUGAGAGCCAAACACGGCGAUCAGGUACGAAAGUAGGGCUUAGUGAUCCGGUGGCAUCCAAGUGGAAGGGCCAUCGCUCAACGGAUAAAAGCUACCCUGGGGAUAACAGGCUAAUCUCUCCCAAGAGUCCAUAUCGACGGGGAGGUUUGGCACCUCGAUGUCGGCUCAUCACAUCCUGGGGCUGAAGUCGGUCCCAAGGGUUGGGCUGUUCGCCCAUUAAAGUGGUACGUGAGCUGGGUUCAGAACGUCGUGAGACAGUUCGGUCCCUAUCCAUCGCGGGCGCAAGAGAUUUGAAGGGGGCUGCUCCUAGUACGAGAGGACCGGAGUGGACGAACCAAUGGUGUACCAAUUAUCUCGCCAGAGGUAUAGUUGGGUAGCUACGUUCGGAAAGGAUAAACGCUGAAAGCAUCUAAGCGUGAAACCAGCCUUAAGAUGAGAUCUCUCAUAGAGUAAUCUAGUAAGACACCUUGGAGAAGACGAGGUUGAUAGGUCGGGAGUGUAAGUACAGUAAUGUAUUCAGCGGACCGAUACUAAUAUGUCGAGGGCUUGACUUA